GGCUCCUUGGUCUAGUUGGUUAUGGCAUCUCGUUAACACCGAGAAGCUGUCUGGUUUGAUCCCGGGCGGAACCA